rnacentral:rRNA from 1 species
GGGGAGGCUACCUGCAGUCGAACGGUAACAGGAAACAGCUUGCUGUUUUGCUGACGAGUGGCGGACGGGUGAGUAAUGUCUGGGAAACUGCCUGAUGGAGGGGGAUAACUACUGGAAACGGUAGCUAAUACCGCAUAACGUCGCAAGACCAAAGAGGGGGACCUUCGGGCCUCUUGCCAUCGGAUGUGCCCAGAUGGGAUUAGCUAGUAGGUGGGGUAACGGCUCACCUAGGCGACGAUCCCUAGCUGGUCUGAGAGGAUGACCAGCCACACUGGAACUGAGACACGGUCCAGACUCCUACGGGAGGCAGCAGUGGGGAAUAUUGCACAAUGGGCGCAAGCCUGAUGCAGCCAUGCCGCGUGUAUGAAGAAGGCCUUCGGGUUGUAAAGUACUUUCAGCGGGGAGGAAGGGAGUAAAGUUAAUACCUUUGCUCAUUGACGUUACCCGCAGAAGAAGCACCGGCUAACUCCGUGCCAGCAGCCGCGGUAAUACGGAGGGUGCAAGCGUUAAUCGGAAUUACUGGGCGUAAAGCGCACGCAGGCGGUUUGUUAAGUCAGAUGUGAAAUCCCCGGGCUCAACCUGGGAACUGCAUCUGAUACU